AGGGUUUGAUUAUGGCUCAGGAUGAACGCUGGCGGCGUGCCUAAUACAUGCAAGUCGAACGCAGUCCUUCGGGACUGAGUGGCGAACGGGUGAGUAAAAGAUAAGGAACCUGGCUUCUGAAGGGGGAUAGCGUCUGGAAACGGACGGUAAAACCGCGUAGGCAGCAUUAACACAUGUUGGAGCUGUUAGAUAUGCUAGUGCAUAGACAGAAGAUGGCCUUAUCACGCAUUAGCUAGUUGGUGAGGUAAAGGCCCACCAAGGCGACGAUGCGUAGCCGGCCUGAGAGGGCGGACGGCCACACUGGGACUGAGACACGGCCCAG
rnacentral:rRNA from 1 species